AGCGAACGCUGGCGGCAUGCCUAACACAUGCAAGUCGAACGGGUCGGCUUCGGCCGGUCAGUGUCGGACGGGUGCGGACCGCGUAGUGAUCUGUCCUCUGGUGGGGGAUAACCGCGGGAAACUGCGGCUAAGACCGCAUGGGGCGCCGGUGUGAGAGCCUGUUUCAUAGGGGCGCAUCGCGAGGUGUGUGUCGCCGGGGGGUGAGCCUGCGUCCGCUUCGCUGGUGGGCGGGGGAGUGGCCCAACGGCGCGGCGGUCGGGACCUGGUCUGAGAGUGGGAUCAGCCACACUUGGACUGCGACACGGCCCAGACUCGUACGGGAGGGAGCAGUGGGGAAUACUGGGCAAUGGGCGCAAGCCUGAUCCAGCAAUGCGGCGUAGGUGAAGAAGGGCUUCGUAUUGUAAAGCCCUUUGGGCGGGGGCGAUGGUGACGGUACCCGCAGAAGAAGCCCCGGCUAACUUCGUG
rnacentral:rRNA from 1 species